AUCCUCUUGCAGUUCAUAGGCAUGACUGCAUGUUCAUGCUUUCCUGUGAUGUAUGCCUCCCUCAAACCUUGUGGACGCUGGCACAUUGCCUAACUUGAAA